GCCAGGUAUGGCGGUGCAUGCCUGUAAUCCCAGCUACUUGGGAGGCUGAGGCAGGAGAAUCACUUGAACCUGGGAGGCACAGGUUGCAGUGAGCCGAGAUCGUGCCACUGCACUCCAGCCUGGGUGACAGAGUGAGACCCUGUCUCAG
rnacentral:SRP_RNA from 1 species